AGAAGCAGGCUGAUAGGAGAGGAGGGUUCUGUGGGCCUCCUGAGCAGACACGAUCAACAUUGAGGAUCAGCGUCAUCAAGGGUGCUGAAGGCUCAGAACAGCUCCAGGUGUGAAGGCUUCAUGCCCAGCGUGGAGCCCAAUGUGGGAUUUGAACUCAUGACCCUGAGAUCAAGAUCUGCGCUGAGAUCAAGAGUCUGACACUUAACUGACUGAGCCACCCAGACCCCUUCUUCAGAUUUUUAAAACUACAGAAAUUGAGAAGGGAGGUAAAGAAAGGCAGAGAGAAAGAGAAAACCGACUUUCUGAGGGGAAGACAUUCUAACAGAAUAGAGAUACUGAAUGAGCUGAUGACUCCUAGGAAGAAUGUCUGUGCAGUUCACACCUAACUGCAACAUAUUACCCUGGCUGCCAGGUAGGCUGAGAAGACAUGAGUUCGCACAAAGCAUUGAUCUUGAUCUUCGUUGACAAGUGAAU